rnacentral:rRNA from 1 species
AUUGAACGCUGGCGGCAUGCCUUACACAUGCAAGUCGAACGGUAGCGGGCCUUCGGGUGCCGACGAGUGGCGAACGGGUGAGUAAUGUAUCGGAACGUACCUUUCAGUGGGGGAUAACGUAGCGAAAGUUGCGCUAAUACCGCAUAUUCUGUGAGCAGGAAAGCAGGGGAUCGCAAGACCUUGCGCUGAUUGAGCGGCCGAUAUCAGAUUAGCUAGUUGGUGAGGUAAAGGCUCACGAAGGCGACGAUCUGUAGCGGGUCUGAGAGGAUGAUCCGCCACACUGGAACUGAGACACGGUCCAGACUCCUACGGGAGGCAGCAGUGGGGAAUUUUGGACAAUGGGGGCAACCCUGAUCCAGCCAUGCCGCGUGAGUGAAGAAGGCCUACGGGUUGUAAAGCUCUUUCGGCCGGGAAGAAAUCGUAUCAGCUAAUACCUGGUGCGGAUGACGGUACCGGCAUAAGAAGCACCGGCUAACUACGUGCCAGCCGCCGCAGUAA